rnacentral:rRNA from 1 species
CGUAGGUAACCUGCCUUGUAGCGGGGGAUAACUAUUGGAAACGAUAGCUAAUACCGCAUAACAAUGGAUGACACAUGUCAUUUAUUUGAAAGGGGCAAUUGCUCCACUACAAGAUGGACCUGCGUUGUAUUAGCUAGUAGGUGAGGUAACGGCUCACCUAGGCGACGAUACAUAGCCGACCUGAGAGGGCGAUCGGCCACACUGGGACUGAGACACGGCCCAG